rnacentral:rRNA from 1 species
GUGGGGAAUAUUGCACAAUGGGCGCAAGCCUGAUGCAGCAACGCCGCGUGAGGGAUGACGGCCUUCGGGUUGUAAACCUCUUUUAGUAGGGAAGAAGCGAAAGUGACGGUACCUGCAGAAAAAGCACCGGCUAACUACGUGCCAGCAGCCGCGGUAAUACGUAGGGUGCAAGCGUUGUCCGGAAUUAUUGGGCGUAAAGAGCUCGUAGGCGGCUUGUCGCGUCGGCUGUGAAAACCCGGGGCUCAACCUCGGGCCUGCAGUGGGUACGGGCAGGCUAGAGUGCGGUAGGGGAGAUUGGAAUUCCUGGUGUAGCGGUGGAAUGCGCAGAUAUCAGGAGGAACACCGAUGGCGAAGGCAGAUCUCUGGGCCGUAACUGACGCUGAGGAGCGAAAGCAUGGGGAGCGAACAGGAUUAGAUACCCUAGUAGUCC